rnacentral:rRNA from 1 species
GAUGAACGCUGGCGGCGUGCCUAAUACAUGCAAGUCGAGCGAACAGACAAGGAGCUUGCUCCUUUGACGUUAGCGGCGGACGGGUGAGUAACACGUGGGUAACCUACCUAUAAGACUGGGAUAACUUCGGGAAACCGGAGCUAAUACCGGAUAAUAUUUCGAACCGCAUGGUUCGAUAGUGAAAGAUGGUUUUGCUAUCACUUAUAGAUGGACCCGCGCCGUAUUAGCUAGUUGGUAAGGUAACGGCUUACCAAGGCGACGAUACGUAGCCGACCUGAGAGGGUGAUCGGCCACACUGGAACUGAGACACGGUCCAGACUCCUACGGGAGGCAGCAGUAGGGAAUCUUCCGCAAUGGGCGAAAGCCUGACGGAGCAACGCCGCGUGAGUGAUGAAGGUCUUCGGAUCGUAAAACUCUGUUAUUAGGGAAGAACAUACAUGUAAGUAACUAUGCACGUCUUGACGGUACCUAAUCAGAAAGCCACGGCUAACUACGUGCCAGCAGCCGCGGUAAUACGUAGGUGGCAAGCGUUAUCCGGAAUUAUUGGGCGUAAAGCGCGCGUAGGCGGUUUUUUAAGUCUGAUGUGAAAGCCCACGGCUCAACCGUGGAGGGUCAUUGGAAACUGGAAAACUUGAGUGCAGAAGAGGAAAGUGGAAUUCCAUGUGUAGCGGUGAAAUGCGCAGAGAUAUGGAGGAACACCAGUGGCGAAGGCGACUUUCUGGUCUGUAACUGACGCUGAUGUGCGAAAGCGUGGGGAUCAAACAGGAUUAGAUACCCUGGUAGUCCACGCCGUAAACGAUGAGUGCUAAGUGUUAGGGGGUUUCCGCCCCUUAGUGCUGCAGCUAACGCAUUAAGCACUCCGCCUGGGGAGUACGACCGCAAGGUUGAAACUCAAAGGAAUUGACGGGGACCCGCACAAGCGGUGGAGCAUGUGGUUUAAUUCGAAGCAACGCGAAGAACCUUACCAAAUCUUGACAUCCUUUGACAACCCUAGAGAUAGAGCCUUCCCCCUCGGGGGACAAAGUGACAGGUGGUGCAUGGUUGUCGUCAGCUCGUGUCGUGAGAUGUUGGGUUAAGUCCCGCAACGAGCGCAACCCUUAAGCUUAGUUGCCAUCAUUAAGUUGGGCACUCUAAGUUGACUGCCGGUGACAAACCGGAGGAAGGUGGGGAUGACGUCAAAUCAUCAUGCCCCUUAUGAUUUGGGCUACACACGUGCUACAAUGGACAAUACAAAGGGCAGCGAAACCGCGAGGUCAAGCAAAUCCCAUAAAGUUGUUCUCAGUUCGGAUUGUAGUCUGCAACUCGACUACAUGAAGCUGGAAUCGCUAGUAAUCGUAGAUCAGCAUGCUACGGUGAAUACGUUCCCGGGUCU